rnacentral:other from 1 species
CGGUUUCUGCCCAGUUCGUUACGGUUCGUUUUCCCUGGGGCUUUCAAUACCUCGGGAGCUGUCCCUGCCAGGCCCGUGGGCUUGGUAUAUGGCGCCCACCUGCACCAGCAGGCCACAGAGGAUUCCUUAACCAACGGCUGGUGUGGGGCCGUC